rnacentral:lncRNA from 1 species
ACUGAUAUACCCAAUGUGCCUAGAAACUAUCAAAUUCUGUAUAAGCGCAUAUAUAUUAACUAAGUUGGAAAACCUCCGAGUUAUCAUAAAAUUAUAAUUCCCUAGAAUACACCAUAAUCAAACCACCAGAAUACCAAAAAUCCUCCUAUUCAAAAACUAAAACUCAGGUUUAUGGAAUAUUUGUUCUCGACUCUAUUGCAAUAUUAGAAUUUCUAUACACAAAAUGAAGGAAACAAUUAAUAAAAAAAGAAAAUAAAUUUUCAUCCCCCUUUUUUAUAGGAUAAUCAAUAUGAAAUUACUCAUGUAGAACAUAUCUGUGAAAAAUUGGAGCUAUUUGUGGUUCUAGAGUAAGUCCAUGACCUUGUCAAUAAAAUAUUGCGAGUGAGUACCUCUCAUGGAUAACCAACCUAUACUUCAAACAGGUAUUAAAAAUCUAGCUGGUAUUUUACAAACUAUAAUACAUGAAUGACUCAUCUUCAAUUCUAUAAAUCGUCCAAUUCCUUCUAAUACAAUAAUUUGAUGAGGUGCCCAUAUAAAGCAGUAGACCCCUGAUGAUGGAGUUGUAGGAGAUCAGAUCAGAUCCUUGCACCCUAGAACU